AUGAGCGGCCGCGCGGCAGCCGGGCCCGCGCUGUCCCCGCGCCCACCCGCCCGGCGGCGCCCAUUGUGCCGGGCCCGCGCCGCCGGGCCGCCCCGGGGCCGCCCCGAGCCCGCCCGCAGCCCUCAGCGCGCCCGACGGCCCGGCUCUGCAAGUUGGGGCCCGCGCCUCCCGCCUGCCCGGGAAGCACGUGAACUUGGAGAAAGUCGCGGAGUGCGCCGGCCCGGACCUCCGCGGCAGGGCGUGGACGCCCCCGGCCCGGCGCGCUUUCGUUUUCGUCCCGGACAAAGGUCCCUCGAGGCGCUAGUCGCGGACGCGGAGAGCGGGUUCGGCCGGCCGCUCCUCGGAGAGGUCCGGUGGUUCCAUACGGGCGAGCUGGAGUCAGGAGAGGAGGAGCGGCGCGGUGCGGGACCUGGAGAGUGGGGCCUGGCGGUGCGCUUCGCCCGGCUGUCUCUCCGUCCCGGGGCCGUCCGGCCCGGCGAAGAGUUGCGGGAGAUGGCACCGCGCUGCACUCUGCGGUUUACACGCGUGAAGGAGGGAAGCGUUCGGGACCCAGGACUCAGACCCAUGGCCCAGGGCCUGUGGCGUGUGGGCACGAUAGCGCAGCGCUGCCUGCGUCCAGGCGCGUUCCUCCGCCAAGGGCAGGGCAGUCGACCUGCGUGUCCCGGGUCACGAUCGGGUUCCGGGAGACUCCUGAGGAUGAACAUGACUCAUCCCAGAGCACCCCCAAGGAAGCGGGACCUACCGUGGCCUUCGGGAGACAUUCCAGGACUGCAGAGCCCAGGACUCACGCCUUCUUCCUGCCUCCUCGUUCUGCAGGGGACCCCUGCAACUCUGCCUCCCUCAGGGAGUCUGGAUGGAAGAGGAGUGCUCAGCCCAGUCCCGCUCAGCACCUCGAGGACUCGCCUGUCCCUGGGGCUCUUCGCCUGGUGCACCUGCUGCCCUUGGGCUCGCCUUGCCUCGAGGGCCCUUUGGGGCCAGCAAUCCUGGAGCUAGCCCCUUCUCUCUGCCCAGCCGGGAACCAGCCCUCAAGCUCAGCCCUAACGCACCCAGGCCACCUGUCAUCACCCCGAGAUGCCACAAGGUGCUUUGACCUCUCUGGGCUUCAUUUUCCUCAUCUGUGAAAUGGGGACAAAUGAGGAUUGAAGACGAUACUGUGUGAAGCGUCCAGAGCAGGGGACGGCUCACAGUUGACCCUUCCGUGCCCCUACACUGCACGGAGAGCCGGGGGACCGCUGGGGCAGUUUCUGCCGCCCGCCUCCCUUCCCCGCCCUCCCGCCCCCUGCGUCUGGACUGUGUCCGCAGCUCCAUCCCUGUGGCCGGCAGUGGGCACCAGCGGGCGCGGCCGUGGACCCAGAGGACGAGGCUGGGGCGGCAGGGCAGGCCCCCAGGGAGACCCCUGGGAAACCUCAGCAUGCCCCCCCGGCAUCCUCACCGGCCUGCCCAGCUCAGCGUCAGGCCUCUGGUCAGUGAUGGCCCCUCCACUGGAGAGGGGGGCUGAGGCUGCCCCAUCCCUCGCCGCUCACCAUUCCAGGCGGGAAGUGAGAGGGGGUUCUCUGAGCACUCUGUGGCCCCUCGGGGACACGAGCCCCCUCCACUCCCCCCCCGCCACCACGACGUGCAGGUGGACGGGGUGGGCUGCACCGUCUGUGCUGUCUGCAUUGUCCCUCCUGCCCCGCGCCUGCCCGGCCUUCCAGCUCGGCUCUGGUGGCCACCGACCUCCGGGCAGGGGCCGGGCCUGGGCGUGGGGCAGUGGCGGGACAGCGGACCCUCCCGCACCCCCGGGCACCGGCGGGGUGAGGUAGUAGGUUGUGUGGUUUCAGGGCAGUGAUGUUGCCCCCUCGGAAGAUAACUAUACAACCUACUGCCUUCCCUGAGGAGCCCAGCGACACAUCCCCACGGGAGGGCCCGCCCCCACGCCCAGCAGGCGACUCCGGGGGCCCCGAGCCACGGGCCGGAGGGGUGGGAGGCUGCAGCAUGCACACCUCGACUUCAAUAAAAGCUG